CCUGCAAUGAAACGAUAGAUGGAAUCUGUAAUAAAUUAUUUUAUUCUUCAUUACUGUCAAGUCUUUGUGAAAAUACUAGAUUUAUUUGGUGAAUCAAGUAUUUUAAUUUUUUUUAAUUCGAACCAGAUAAUUUCUAAAGAAGGUAAAGAUACGACGAAUAUGUCACAACUUGAUAAGUAUUUUAAUCUUUUAAAAACCUAUAAAAUCAAAUUAUUCAAACAUAAUUAAACUCUUAAAAUACUUCUUUAUAGCUAGACCAAUCGAUUAAACCCACAGUUGAAUAGGUUUUCUUUUUUUUCUUUUUAUAAUUUUUAAAUAAUUUAUUCAAUUGAAACGAUUUUCAACGAAUAAAGUGCAACAAAUAAUUUGAAAAAUCAUAAGAACUAGCGUGAUGCAAAACAACUAAAAGCAUGAAAUUGAAUUUUUUUUAAAAGGAGUUGAAGUGGACUUGUUCAUAGAUUAGGUUAUUUAUCUAGACUCGAAGGCUUGUCUGAAAUUUAGAACGGUUUAGGCAAAAAUGUUAGGUUCGAAAAUGAGCUAGGGCAAAAAAAUUAAGCCCAUUUAAAAUAUGGGUUGGACUCGAGCUUGAGCAUUCAAGGUUUAAGCCUGGUUCAAUCCGUUUUAAAGUUUAUAAUACUUUAUAUUAUGUAAUUUAGAACACAUUAAAAAACAAACCUAUAGUAAAUAUAUAGUACUACUCUAAUGUAAACAAUAAAAUAAUGUUAAUAUGAUUAUAUAAAAAAUUUCAAUAAAUAAAAAUGUAUAAAAUUAUUAAAUAUUAAAAUAAUAUAAUAUAAAUAUUUUAGAAAAUUAAAAAUAAUAUGGACGAGCCUAAAAUGGGCUUGGGUUAAUUUUUUUUGUAAAUUUGAGUGAAUUUGAAUAAAAUUUUAAGUUUAUAUUCUGAGUCAGAUCAAACUUAAACAAACAUAAAAUAUAUUAUUAUACUUAAUACCAACCCAUGAACACUUAUAGGUUGAAGGGUGAAGAGACUUAAUAUUUUUGAAGCUUGAACUUUUGUUUUUAAAGGUUGAACCUUGAAGUUCUAGAUGCGAGUAAUUUGUGAAUAUUUUUAAAACUUGAAGCUCGAUGGAGUAAUAUUUAUUAAAUUUAUAAUUAUUUUAUUUAAAAUGUAUUUUAUGUCACUCCCAAUUUGUAAGUCAUAACUUGAUUGUUUUUUUUAAUUAUCUAAUUAUAAAAAUAAGUUUUUAUAAAUAUUAUUUACUCUUUUAAUAACCUUUCACUUUUUAAACAUAAUGUCAUUUUAUUAAAAAAUUUAUUUCGUAGAUCUUUCCUAACACACUAUUUAUAGUCCCUAAUCAAUUAUAUAAGGUUUAACUCAUAAAUUAGUGUUUAAAUUAUACUGAUUUUCUCAUCUUGGUAUCUAAACUUUUUUUAGUCACAUGUGAUACCUAAACUACUUUUUUUUCUUCAAGUUGGUACCUCUGUUGAGUAAAUCGUUAGUUAAACUGUUAAAUCUAUUUAAAAAUAAGCUUAACCCAUAAAUUGGUAUCUAAACUAUACAUUUUUUCCAGUUUGGCACCUAAACAUUUUUUUAGUUACAAGUGAUACCUAAACUACCAGGGGUGGAGCCAGAAAUGAAAUUUUAAUUUUUAAUAAUCUAUAUAUUUAUAAUUUUUAAAGGAUUAAAUUAAAUUUUUUUAUAAUUUUAAGGGCCAAAGUGUAAUUUUACAUUUACUAAAUUAAAGUUUUAAAAAUUCCUAAAGGACCUAAAUAACAAUUUUCCAUUUGACAAGAUUCGCCUCUGUAGACUGCUUUUUUUCCCAAAUUGAUAUAUAUGUUAGUUUAAGAUUGUUAAUUGUAUGAAGUUGUGAUUCCACAUCAUUCAUAUCCCUUUCUAAUAAGAGAAUGACAAAUAAGAUUUUUCUUCCUGAUUUUUAGCAUUUUCAAUUGGAUUUGAAUUUUUUUAGAAGAAAAAAAGCUAAAAAUUAAGAUGAAAAAUCUAAUUUGUCAUUCUACUAUUGGAAAUGGAUAUAGAUGACAUAAUAAUUAAAAAUUGACAUAUGUCAAAAAAAGCAAAAAAUAUUAUUUUCUCUUGUAUAUAUUUUUUUAUUUUUUUCUUUAAAAUUAGACUGAUGGUUGAACCGGUUAAGUCACCAAUUUUCAGUUUGAUCACUUUUUUUUGGUUCGAUUAAAUAUUAUUGGUGAUAGGCUUUUUUUAUGAACUUUUUUUAACUUCAGCUCAUGUUUUCAUGAUAAACUUUUUUUUUCUAACCUAGAAGGGUGCAGCUUGAUACAUUCGCAACAUCCACUUAAAAAAUAUAUAUAUUUUAUUUUUCUCUCAUCGUGUAUAUCCGUGAAAAUACGAAUAUUUUAAAAAGAUAUACAAUAUUUCCGCCAGAAACAGUGAUGGCACCAAUAAUUUUUUUAAAGAAAAAACAUAAUUAUUGGCUGAUGAUUGGUCGAAAAAGUUGUAACGCUGCCGAUGUGCCAGAUGACACCGGUUUGUACGGUAACAAACAACUUAU
rnacentral:lncRNA from 1 species